rnacentral:misc_RNA from 1 species
GCAAACUUGGUCAUUUAGAGGAAGUAAAAGUCGUAACAAGGUCUCCGUUGGUGAACCAGCGGAGGGAUCAUUACCAGGAAGGCCGAGAGGCUGCCCUAAACCACCGCGAACCCCUCCCAGUUGCCUCGGCGGCACAGGCGCCCUCCCCCCCCUCGCCGCGGGGGGGCGGGCGCCCGCCGCCGGAGGAACCAAGAAACCCUCCUGUAUCGCGGCGGCACAUCUGAGUGAAGCAAGCAAGCAAGCCAAAACUUUCAACAACGGAUCUCUUGGCUCUGGCAUCGAUGAAGAACGCAGC